rnacentral:rRNA from 1 species
GAUCAUGGCUCAGAUUGAACGCUGGCGGCAUGCUUUACACAUGCAAGUCGAACGGCAGCAUGAGGAGCUUGCUCCUUGAUGGCGAGUGGCGCACGGGUGAGUAAGACAUCGGAACGUGUCCUUUUGUGGGGGAGUAACUGUCCGAAAGGACAGCUAAUACCGCAUAAGACCUGAGGGUGGAAAGACGGGGGAGUCGCAAGACCUCGCGCGAAGGAGCGGCCGAUGCCGAUUAG